UACGUAGGGUCCGAGCGUUGUCCGGAAUUACUGGGCGUAAAGAGCUCGUAGGUGGUUUGUCGCGUUGUUCGUGAAAACUCACAGCUCAACUGUGGGCGUGCGGGCGAUACGGGCAGACUAGAGUACUGCAGGGGAGACUGGAAUUCCUGGUGUAGCGGUGGAAUGCGCAGAUAUCAGGAGGAACACCGGUGGCGAAGGCGGCAUCCUGGACCGACAUUGACGCUGAGGAGCGAAAGCUAGGGGAGCAAACGGG
rnacentral:rRNA from 1 species